rnacentral:sRNA from 1 species
GCUGGGUAUGAUGGGGCAUACCUGUAAUCCCAGCAGCUUGGGAUGCUGAGGCAGGAGGAUCAUGUGUUCAAAGCUAACCUCAGUAAUUUAGCAAGGCCCUAAGCAACUCAGGGAGAUCCUGUCUCUA